rnacentral:rRNA from 1 species
AGCGAACGCUGGCGGCAGGCCUAACACAUGCAGGUCGAACGAAGUCUUCGGACUUAGUGGCGGACGGAUGAGUAACACGUGGGAACGUGCCUUUAGGUUCGGAAUAACUCAGGGAAACUUGUGCUAAUACCGAAUGUGCCCUUCGGGGGAAAGAUUUAUCGCCUUUAGAGCGGCCCGCGUCUGAUUAGCUAGUUGGUGAGGUAACGGCUCACCAAGGCGACGAUCAGUAGCUGGUCUGAGAGGAUGACCAGCCACACUGGGACUGAGACACGGCCCAGACUCCUACGGGAGGCAGCAGUGGGGAAUCUUGCGCAAUGGGCGAAAGCCUGACGCAGCCAUGCCGCGUGAAUGAUGAAGGUCUUAGGAUUGUAAAAUUCUUUCACCGGGGACGAUAAUGACGGUACCCGGAGAAGAAGCCCCGGCUAACUUCGUGCCAGCAGCCGCGGUAAGAC